ensembl:lncRNA LINC00858 long intergenic non-protein coding RNA 858
GUCACCUUGUCACUUAUCUACUGGGUCACCUUGUUGGCAUGGGAUGCCAGCCAGGCUUGCAGCUGCUCCAUCCUCCCCUGAAUUUGUACUUCAGCUUCUCCACUCAUGGCCUGCCCUGAGGACUUCAUGGUUCAGCAUCAGAUAUGAAGACGACAGCCCUAUAGAGACUAUUUAACCAGCUUCUAAGGAUGAAGAAAGGGAAACUCACUUCAGGUCAAUAGAGAUUGUCAUUUGGGACCCCUUCAAGACAACCAAUUAUAUGACUGUCUCUAAAAUAUUGCUAUCCAGCCCCCAUUCCUCACUUUUGUCCUACUGGUAAUAAGACAUUCAUCGUGUAUCUUUCAGAAGUCCAGAUACCACAGUCUGAGUAGUUCUUUAAUCUGCUUAUCUGGUGAUUCCAUCACAAAUGGUUCAGAUACUUCCAGAGACAACUGCCUUUAGAGGAGUCAUACACAUUCUCCUUCAGCCUGGACACUAACUCAGUAAGCAGCAGCUUCAGAAUAAUGCACCUGUGAUCAGGCCAAUUGGGAUAGAGGCAUCAUCUGCCCUUAUCUUCUCAGAGCCAAAGAAACUAACUUAAUUUUCCGUAUCAGCUUCAUUUUCCCCUUUACUCAAUGCCCAGAGAUUAAUUCUUGGUUUCAGCCCCACCCCAUGAAAAGGAUGUCUAUUCAAUCAGAGAGACACAAAGAUGGCUUGUGCAAACCAAGCAAAAAAGACACAAGAGGAAUUUAUUCUGGUUAAUAAGCUGAGAGCAAACAUGUAGAGGCUAAUUGUAUGGUGAGUACAAGAAGAGUUUCUUAUCUGGGGAGUGUAUAAUGUUGGGGUAGACACUGUCAUUUGUUUUCUUAUCCAAUAGCCAUCAUUCUUCAUUGCUUAGAAAAAAAAACUUUGUGCUACAGCUGUCAGGCAAGUGGCAUGGGAUUUAGGAGAAAAUUAUUUGCUGUCAGCCCUGAAGGAUGAAGGAAUCACAAUUUCUCUGUACAAUCAUGGUAGUCAGCUUUCAAGAUUCCUCCAAUGAUUCUCAUCUCCUGCUAUUCAUGCCCUUGUGUAGUUAUCUCUUGCACAGAAUAGGGCUGAUGUGUGACCAGUAGGAUAUUAUGGAAAUGGCAGAAUUUGAUGUUCAUAAAAGAUGUUGCAGCUUUUACCUCGCUCUCUCAGAUUAUUCACCCUGGAGAAGGCUGUUGUUUAUCUUUUCACAUUGUGAAAACAUUCAAGUGGCCCUCUGUGAAGUCCAUGUGAUUGGGACUUGAGGCUUCCUGACAAUAGCCACCACGAAUUUGCCGACCAUGUGAGUGGCACAACUUUGUUCAGGUGACUGGAGGCCCAGCUGGCAUUUUGCCUGCUAUUUCAUAAGAGACUCCAAGCCAGAACCAUCCAACAGAGCCAACUAAGUCUCUUCCAAAUUCCUGGCCCAAAGAAACUCUGAGAGAUAAUACAUAUUUAUUGUUAUUUAAGCCACUGAAUUUCAGAGUAAUUUGUUAUGCAGAAAUAAAUAACACCAAUUGUGUUGAAUCCC